rnacentral:misc_RNA from 1 species
AUGAAGCGCGUUAGGGAUUGAAGCGGAAAGCCCGUAGCCCGGUAAGGUUAACAACUAUAUGAAGCCAUUUACCCGAAGUAUAACGCGACUUUUUAUUUUUGAAAAGCAUUAGCGAGGACUUGCAGCGAAAAGCCCGACCCGAU